GAGUUUGAUCCUGGCUCAGAACGUACGCUGGCGGCACGCCUAACACAUGCAAGUCGAACGAAGUAGCAAUACUUAGUGGCAGACGGGUGAGUAACAUGUAGGUAUCUGCCCUUUGGCCUGGAAUAACACGAGGAAACUUGUGCUAAUACCGGAUAAGUCUUUACGGAGAAAGCUUUAUGCACCAUUGGAUGAGCCUGCACUUGAUUAGUUUGUUGGUGGGGUAAUGGCCUACCAAGACUGUGAUCAAUAGCUGAUUUGAGAGGAUGAUCAGCCACAUUGGGACUGAGACACGGCCCAAACUCCUACGGGAGGCAGCAGUGGGGAAUCUUGCACAAUGGAGGAAACUCUGAUGCAGCGAUGCCGCGUGAGUGAAGAAGGCCCUUGGGUUGUAAAGCUCUUUCGUCGGGGAAGAAAAUGACUGUACCCGAAUAAGAAGGUCCUGCUAACUUCGUGCCAGCAGCCGCGGUAAUACGAAGGGACCUAGCGUAGUUCGGAAUUACUGGGCUUAAAGAGUUCGUAGGUGGUUGAAAAAGUUAGUGGUGAAAUCCCAGAGCUUAACUCUGGAACUGCCAUUAAAACUUUUCAGCUAGAGUAUGAUAGAGGAAAGCAGAAUUUCUAGUGUAGAGGUGAAAUUCGUAGAUAUUAGAAAGAAUACCAAUUGCGAAGGCAGCUUUCUGGAUCAUUACUGACACUGAGGAACGAAAGCAUGGGUAGCGAAGAGGAUUAGAUACCCUCGUAGUCCAUGCCGUAAACGAUGUGUGUUAGACGUUGGAAAUUUAUUUUCAGUGUCGCAGGGAAACCGAUAAACACACCGCCUGGGGAGUACGACCGCAAGGUUAAAACUCAAAUGAAUUGACGGGGACCCGCACAAGUAGUGGAGCAUGUGGUUUAAUUCGAAGAUACGCGCAGAACCUUACCAACACUUGACAUGUUCGUCGCGACUCUAAGAGAUUAGAGUUUUCGGUUCGGCCGGACGAAACACAGGUGCUGCAUGGCUGUCGUCAGCUCGUGUCGUGAGAUGUUGGGUUAAGUCCCGCAACGAGCGCAACCCUCACUUUUAGUUGCCAUCAUUAAGUUGGGCACUCUGAAAGAACUGCCAGUGAUAAGCUGGAGGAAGGUGGGGAUGACGUCAAGUCCUCAUGGCCCUUACGUGUUGGGCUACACACGUGCUACAAUGGUAUCUACAACAGGAAGCAAGACUGCGAAGUUAAGCAAAUCCCUAAAAGAUACCUCAAUUCGGAUUGCACUCUGCAACUCGAGUGCACGAAGCUGGAAUUACUAGUAAUCGUGGAUCAGCGUGCCACGGUGAAUGCGUUCCCGGGUCUUGCACUCACCGCCCGUC
rnacentral:rRNA from 1 species